rnacentral:rRNA from 1 species
AGAKRAGGAGCUUGCUUCUUCARAUCGAGUGGCGAACGGGUGAGUAACGCGUGAGGAACCUGCCUCAAAGAGGGGGACAACAGUUGGAAACGACUGCUAAUACCGCAUAAGCCCACGGSUCGGCAUCGASCAGAGGGAAAAGGAGYRAUCCGCUUUGAGAUGGCCUCGCGUCCGAUUAGCUAGUUGGUGAGGUAAYGGCCCACCAAGGCGACGAUCGGUAGCCGGACUGAGAGGUUGAACGGCCACAUUGGGACUGAGACACGGCCCAGACUCCUACGGGAGGCAGCAGUGGGGAAUAUUGCACAAUGGGGGAAACCCUGAUGCAGCGACGCCGCGUGGAGGAAGAAGGUCUUCGGAUUGUAAACUCCUGUUGUUGAGGAAGAUAAUGACGGUACUCAACAAGGAAGUGACGGCUAACUACGUGCCAGCAGCCGCGGUAAAACGUAGGUCACAAGCGUUGUCCGGAAUUACUGGGUGUAAAGGGAGCGCAGGCGGGAAGACAAGUUGGAAGUGAAAUCCAUGGGCUCAACCCAUGAACUGCUUUCAAAACUGUUUUUCUUGAGUAGUGCAGAGGUAGGCGGAAUUCCCGGUGUAGCGGUGGAAUGCGUAGAUAUCGGGAGGAACACCAGUGGCGAAGGCGGCCUACUGGGCACCAACUGACGCUGAGGCUCGAAAGUGUGGGUAGCAAACAGGAUUAGAUACCCUGGUAGUCCACACYGUAAACGAUGAUUACUAGGUGUUGGAGGAUUGACCCCUUCAGUGCCGCAGUUAACACAAUAAGUAAUCCACCUGGGGAGUACGACCGCAAGGUUGAAACUCAAAGGAAUUGACGGGGGCCCGCACAAGCGGAGGAACAUGUGGUUUAAUUCGAUGAUACGCGAGGAACCUUACCCGGGCUUGAAUUGCAGAGGAAGGAUU